rnacentral:rRNA from 1 species
GAUGAACGCUGGCGGCGUGCCUAAUACAUGCAAGUCGAACGCUGGAGAUCUAGCUUGCUAGAUCGAAGGAGUGGCGAACGGGUGAGUAAUACAUAAGCAACCUACCCACGAAGACUGGGAUAAUCCCUGGAAACGGGGACUAAUACCGGAUAGGUAAUCGGAAGGCAUCUUCUGGUUAUUAAAGGUUAAAAACACUGGUGGAUGGGCUUAUGGCGCAUUAGUUAGUUGGUGAGGUAACGGCCCACCAAGACGAUGAUGCGUAGCCGGCCUGAGAGGGUGAACGGCCACAUUGGGACUGAGACACGGCCCAGACUCCUACAGGAGGCAGCAGUAGGGAAUUUUCGGCAAUGGGGGCAACCCUGACCGAGCAACGCCGCGUGAGUGAAGACGGCCUUCGGGUUGUAAAGCUCUGUUGUAAGGGAAGAACGGUAGAUAGAGAAUAUCUAAGUGACGGUACCUUACCAGAAAGCCACGGCUAACUACGUG